UGGAAUACUAUGCAGCCAUAAAAAACGAUGAGUUCGUGUCCUUUGUAGGAACAUGGAUGAAUCUGGAAACCAUGAUUCUCAGCAAACUAACACAAGAACAGAAAACCAAACACUGCAUGUUCUCAAUCACAGGUUUGACUGCUGCAUUCUCACCACGGUGACUGAAGAGGACUGGGCUUUCCUCCUCUGCCAGAUCAUUCAUCACUGCCUAAAGGAAGAAGCUGCUUCGCCAAAUGGAUGAAUGAUUUAAGAUAUCCGUCUUGUUUUGGGCCUCACAAAUGAUUUGCCCCUCACCUUUGGGAACACUUGCAAUUUCUCCCAUAUUGUUGACUGCACACAACUGAGAGUGAAAUUCCACCCACACUUUCCAUGCUGCUCGGGGGCCUGGUUACUGCAGUUGUGACUGUGGUCCUUGGUGAGGUUAUCUCAGAAAGCAGGUGAGAUAACCUUCUGGAUUAGCAAUCUUUGUGAGAGAAUCCAGACUUUACAGGAAAAUGCUGAGCUGUUCUCUGGGUCUUGGCCCAGCAGGGCAUCAGGUCUGUGUGCACUACUGCCCUCCAGGCACAAGACAAAUCUUCUGGACUGUGGGAAGCAUGCAGUUCCUACAUUCUGACAGUUUCUGAACAAUAUCAUUUUAAAUUUCCUUCCCUUUUCCCAUCUUUCCUUUCUAUUUAAUGUGAUGUCACCAAUGUAACAUUAUGAGAUAUGAUAUAAACAAACAUCCCCAGCCCUAUGUUCAAGGACAGCGUCAUCCAUUGCAAAGCCCCAUUCUGUAGAAACAGAGGUACCAUUAGCAUCGUAUCCUGUAUGAACAGUGCCUCUCGAGCACAGCUCCCCGUACAUAAAGCAUGGGGGCUGCUGUGCACAUGGUGCCUCUGUGUGCCAGCUCAGUUAGGAAUUUUUGUUCUCAUAUAACUAUCAACAAUCCCAUACACUUGUAAGUUUCUGAAUUAAGAUUGAAGUUUUAUUAUUAAAUCUUACCCUCCCUUUAUCCCGUAUGAGCUAAUGGUGGAUACGUCUUGCUUAAUCUACUAAAUAUUCAAAAGGCAUCAUUGUUUUCUAGUCUAAUACUCCAACUUACACAUUGCGACCAAUUCUAUCUCUGCUUACACAA
rnacentral:lncRNA from 13 species